rnacentral:rRNA from 1 species
UGCCAGACUCCUACGGGAGGCAGCAGUGAGGAAUAUUGGUCAAUGGGCGAGAGCCUGAACCAGCCAAGUCGCGUGAAGGAUGACGGCCCUACGGGUUGUAAACUUCUUUUGUCAGGGAGCAAUUGGGUCCACGCGUGGGCUUAGCGAGAGUACCUGAAGAAAAAGCAUCGGCUAACUCCGUGCCAGCAGCCGCGGUAAUACGGAGGAUGCGAGCGUUAUCCGGAUUUAUUGGGUUUAAAGGGUGCGUAGGGGGAAUACAAGGUCGGGGGUAAAAGCCGGGGGCCCACCCCCGGCGAGCCGUUGAAACUGGCUGUCUUGAGAUGUCGAGAGGUAUGCGGAAUGCGCAGUGUAGCGGUGAAAUGCUUAGAUAUUGCGCAGAACUCCGAUUGCGAAGGCAGCAUACCGGCGGCGAUCUGACGCUGAGGCACGAAAGCGUGGGGAUCGAACAGGAUUAGAUACCCUCGUAGAC